AGUCAAUCUACCCUAUGGACGGGGAUAACCUCGGGAAACUGAGAAUAAUACCCGAUAGAUCAUAAUGCCUGGAAUGGUUUAUGGUUGAAAUGAUUUUUCGCUGUAGGAUGGGACUGCGGUCUAUCAGCUUGUUGGUGAGGUAAUGGCCCACCAAGGCUAUUACAGAUACGGGCUCUGAGAGGAGUAGCCCGGAGAUGGGUACUGAGACACGGACCCAGGCCCUAUGGGGCGCAGCAGGCGAGAAAACUUUGCAAUGUGCGAAAGCACGACAAGGUUAAUCCGAGUGUUUCCUGCUAAAGGAAUCUUUUGUCAGUCGUAACAGCACUGAUGAAUAAGGGGUGGGCAAGUUCUGGUGUCAGCCGCCGCGGUAAAACCAGCACCUCAAGUGGUCAGGAGGAUUAUUGGGCCUAAAGCAUCCGUAGCCGGCUAUGUUAGUUUUCGGUUAAAUCUGUAUGCUCAACAUACAGGCCGCCGGGAAUACUGCAGAGCUAGGGAGUGGGAGAGGUAGACGGUACUCGGUAGGAAGGGGUAAAAUCCUUUGAUCUAUUGAUGACCACCUGCGGCGAAGGCGGUCUACCAGAACACGUCCGACGGUGAGGGAUGAAAGCUGGGGGAGCAAACCGGAUUAGAUACCCGGGUAGUCCCAGCUGUAAACUAUGCAAACUCAGUGAUGCAUUGGCUUGUGGCCAAUGCAGUGUUGCAGGGAAGCCGUUAAGUUUGCCGCCUGGGAAGUACGUACGCAAGUAUGAAACUUAAAGGAAUUGGCGGGGGAGCACCACAAGGGGUGAAGCCUGCGGUUC
rnacentral:rRNA from 1 species